AGGAAGAAAAUCAUGUAUUUAAAGUUGAAUAUCAAGUGGUUGUGUUGGGAAGUGUGGCAUUUCUGAUAAGUCAUGAAGGUAAAGAUCUCGUGAAAGAAUUCACAGGCUUGUCCACUGGUCCCCUCAACCAUGAGAGGUAGGAAAGAGCCCUCAUAGACACUGGAUUUUCUGGAGACCUGAUCUCAGAAUUCUCAACCUCCAGAAUUAUGUGAAAUAAAUUUCAUGUGUGUGUCUGUGUCUGUGUCUGUGUGUCAGUGUGUGUCCAUCAUUGGGCUGAAUUCAAGGCCUGGGCGCUAUCCCUGAACUUUUGUGCUCAAGGUUAGC